rnacentral:lncRNA from 1 species
UCACCAGGUAGGCAGAAUAGUCUUAUAUAGCCAUUUGUUGUCCAGGGCAAUUUUGCCUAUUAAGUCUGUUUCCUCCCAGUUAACCUUCCUUCCAUGAGCCUCUGAAGCUUGAUGUCUGAACUCAGGGAUGGUUUGGAAACCCCUACUUAGGCAGUCUUGGGUCUUCUCAAAUACUGCAGUCUAAUACCAUGUCCUGCCUGCUCUAAAACUGACUCCUGCUCCUUCCGUCUGUUUUUCCCAGUUUACAGAUCUGGCUUGUGUAUUCACUCUCUACAUGUCUAUGUAAGUAACCACAUUCGCAUUGGCUGAGAAGUCAUCACUUGCAAAAUAGUCUUUAUUGAGUUCAAGAGCCAACAUGCUCUCUGGUCCUUCUAAUCCAGCUGUUCUCAACCUUGGCUGCACAUGGAAUCACUGAGGGAGGCCUUGGUCUGCAGUAAAGCCUACACACCUCCCCAGGACUAAGUACGGAUUUCUGAGUAUAACCAUGGAAGAAGACCCUCGAAAGGGAACUGCUGAGUUAAAGGAAAUGUGCCAUUUAUACUUUGGCUAAAUGUUCCCACACUUUCAUUCCUGAAGUUGUGCCAAUUUAUGUUGGUAGAAACAAUGUAUUAGAGCACUUUCCCCAUCAUCAUAAAUACAGUGACUUGGAAGCUAAGGCCCAGAGAGGAGGAGAAACUUGAUCAAAGUCAAUCAGACAAUGCAGAAUCGAGAAAAGUACCUGGACCUCUAUGCCCAUGCUUCUAGCAGCCAGCCUCCUAAAAUACCUCUAGUUGAAGCCAAAGUUAGAAUCCUUCUACGAAACUACAGGAUUAAAAUGGAAUGGUUACAUGACCCAGGCUUGACCAAUCAGAUCAUCCAAACCCUUUGCCACAGUGAUUGGUCCAGGGAUACAUGCAUGAGCCAGCUCAGGUGGCAUUGUAUUAUGCGCCAAGAGUGAACCAGAUAGAGGAAGUUGCUCCUUAAGCUUGCAGGUCUGAAAGAACAAGGAAUUGCCUCUCUUCAAAGGCCUAAGCCACACUCAUCUUGUGGAUGACACUGGAGCUGUGACAGUCUGUUCUGUCCAGGCAGGGUGUCUUUUAUUUUUAUUGGAAAUAAGAUUAUCACAGGUAAGAACAUCUGGCAUAGGCACAGUAGGUGACGGGUAAGAAUUAGGUGAUUUGAUUGUAAUUGGUUAGCUUCCUUAGAUAUUCCCAGGAGGAAGUAAUGGCCUCAGGGGGCCUCCAGAAAAAAAAAGAUCUCAUGAAAUUUCUUUCGCUUAGUGGAUUGAGCCUGGGGCUAGCUCAUAUGAUGACUAUGGGACCUUCAAUUUGCUGAAUCUAUCCACAAGCUUCUACACUCUUUGGGAGAUUGGUUAAAAGUCUCUCGAAGACACCAAGACUUCAAGAGAAGUCUUGAGUUCUUCAGAGAAGUCUGGAGAAGACUGAGAAUUUGUAAGGCAGUUUCAUUGUUUUUGAAGGGUUUUUUAAUAUCCCCUAAUUUUACUUGUGUUGGUCUAUCUGUGGAAAUGUGUGGUAUGUACACACACACAAACCAUACUACAGACAAACUCAUAAUACGAAACAUUAAAGUUUUGUUUCUGCUGUUCUG